UGGGGAAUAUUGCACAAUGGGCGAAAGCCUGAUGCAGCGACGCCGCGUGAGGGAUGACGGCCUUCGGGUUGUAAACCUCUUUCAGCAGGGAAGAAGCGAAAGUGACGGUACCUGCAGAAGAAGCGCCGGCUAACUACGUGCCAGCAGCCGCGGUAAUACGUAGGGCGCAAGCGUUGUCCGGAAUUAUUGGGCGUAAAGAGCUCGUAGGCGGUUAGUCGCGUCUGCUGUGAAAACUCGAGGCUCAACCUCGGGCUUGCAGUGGGUACGGGCUGACUAGAGUGCGGUAGGGGUGACUGGAAUUCCUGGUGUAGCGGUGGAAUGCGCAGAUAUCAGGAGGAACACCGAUGGCGAAGGCAGGUCACUGGGCCGCAACUGACGCUGAGGAGCGAAAGCAUGGGGAGCGAACAGGAUUAGAUACCCUGGUAGUCCAUGCCGUAAACGUUGGGCACUAGGUGUGGGGUCCAUUCCACGGAUUCCGUGCCGCAGCAAACGCAUUAAGUGCCCCGCCUGGGGAGUACGGCCGCAAGGCUAAAACUCAAAUGAAUUGACGGGGUCAUAGCUGUUUCC
rnacentral:rRNA from 1 species